rnacentral:lncRNA from 1 species
GCUAUUGAGCCGCAUACUUGCUCGGCCUCUACAGGUAUCCACUCGGGCUCAGACUAGGAUGUUCUCUCCAUCUUCAAUUCAUCUACUCCUAGAUGAAUCUACAAGCUCUUGGAUCAGCCUUAGAUCUAAUCUCUGGUAGGGUUCCGACCAAUGCUUGAUCGCAACCUUCUUGCUCCUUCGCAUAGAUCGAAUGAAACUCGACGUUUCAAGACCACUAGAUGGGAUGCCCAACUCCUUUGGGCAUGGGAGAGGGUCAGAGAUCAGAGAGGAG